rnacentral:lncRNA from 1 species
AGAUCACCAUGACAACAAAUAACUCUGAAGGUAGAGAUAGACCGUUCAGGAGUUCAAGGUCUUCCUCAGCUACACGGUGAGUUUGAGACCACCAAGCAAUCAAGCAAGCAAGCAAGCCAUUUUCUUCUAGUCACCCAUGUCCACAGGACCGUACUGGAGAACUCAUUUCCCGAGUCAGUGGGGUUCGGAAGCAGGAACGAUGCUUCUCUGACACAAGUCUCACAGCUCGGCCAGGAGUGCUGCUGCCCUCAGUACUCAGGAUCCAUCACUACUGUGGGAGGAAAAGCAGACCCUCAACUGAACUGCCAGGCCAUCAACACAGUUCCAUGUGAAUGCUGGAGUCUUACAAAGAGGGUUGAAGGCUGAGGGCUGGGGUGUAGCUCAGCGGGAGAGCACCUGCUUCAUCCCCAGCUACAUUUCCAGUGCCACCCAAAACAAAACAAGACGAAAGUCAGCCCAGGAAAAUCCAGAUUCAAUCUACAGAAACCAAUGCAGAGCUGUGGCCUCACUCAGGGCAACAUCGUCUGCCUACACAAGCUGGUGUGACAGACAGACGGACGGGGAUCACAGUCACGGUGACUAUGCACACCAGGGGGAACGAUUUUUGUAAAGAAGUUAAAUUCAUGUCUCUUGACUGCCUUUUUCAUAAAAAUGCUUUAAAUUCA